AGCGAACGUUUGCGGCGGGCCUAAACACAUGCAAGUCGAACGCACUAGCAAUAGUGAGUGGCGCACGGGUGCGUAACACGUGGGUAAUCAACCCUUCGGCUUGGGAUAACGACUUGAAAGGGUCGCUAAUACCGGAUACGGCGCGGGAGGCUUCGGCUUCUCACGAGAAAGCCUCGCAAGGGGCACUGAAGGACGAGCCUGCGGCCCAUCAGCUAGUUGGUGAGGUAAGAGCUCACCAAGGCGAAGACGGGUAGCUGGUCUGAGAGGAUGAUCAGCCACACUGGAACUGAGACACGGUCCAGACUCCUACGGGAGGCAGCAGUGGGGAAUAUUGCGCAAUGGGCGAAAGCCUGACGCAGCCACGCCGCGUGAGCGAUGAAGGCCUCGGUCGUAAGCUCUGUGGGAGGAGACGAAGAAAGACCGU
rnacentral:rRNA from 1 species